GUUUCCGUAGUGUAGCGGUUAUCACGUUCGCCUCACACGCGAAAGGUCCUCGUUUCGAAACCGGGCUGAAACA
rnacentral:tRNA from 1 species